rnacentral:tRNA from 2 species
CGGGGCGUGGCGCAGUUUGGCUAGCGCGCUUGCUUGGGGUGCAAGAGGUCGGGAGUUCAAAUCUCCCCGCUCCGACCA